GAUGAAGAACGUAGCGAAAUGCGAUACGUAAUGUGAAUUGCAGAAUUCAGUGAAUCAUCGAGUCUUUGAACGCACAUUGCGCCCCCUGGUAUUCCGGGGGGCAUGCCUGUCCGAGCGUCAUUACAACCCUCAAGCUCAGCUUGGUGUUGGGCCCCGCCGCCCCGGCGGGCCCUAAAGUCAGUGGCGGUGCCGUCCGGCUCCGAGCGUAGUAAUUCUUCUCGCUCUGGAGGUCCGGUCGUGUGCUCGCCAGCAACCCCCAAUUUUUUUCAGGUUGACCUCGGAUCAGGUAGGGAUACCCGCUGAACUUAAGCAUAUCAAUAGCGGAGGA
rnacentral:misc_RNA from 1 species